UACGUAGGUGGCAAGCGUUAUCCGGAAUUAUUGGGCGUAAAGCGCGCGCAGGUGGUUUCUUAAGUCUGAUGUGAAAGCCCACGGCUCAACCGUGGAAUUGCACUCGAGACUGAAGGGCUCGAGGACGGGAGAGGAUGGUGGAAUUCCCAGUGUAGAGGUGAAAUUCGUAGAUAUUGGGAAGAACACCGGUGGCGAAGGCGGCCAUCUGGACCGUAUCUGACGCUGAGGCGCGAAAGCGUGGGGGAGCAAACAGGG
rnacentral:rRNA from 1 species